GGAAGACAGCAGAAAAACAGAAAAGGAGCAAAUCCAAGGCACCGAGAUGAACAAAGUCAGAAGAAGUUUAAGAGAUUUUCCCAGGACGACUAGCUGGUGGUAGAACUUGGACUCAGAUCUCCUGUCUCCCCAUUUAGCAAAGCACGAUGCAAACUGCUGCUGGUUUCCCAGUGGAGAGGAGGUGGGGGUAGAGGAGAAGCUGAGGCAAGUACUACCCAUCUCUACUAGGCUCCCCCCAGCAAAAAGCACCCCUACAUACUGAAGGUUCUUGCUAGCGACUAGGGUGACAGGCUCAGGGAUCCGUGGGAGGUAACUGUAUCCCAUAAAUUGAAUGAAAUGUAAAAUGUUCAGAUUGGGAUGGCAAAGGAGGAGGGGGAAGGGGAGCGGGCGCGGUAGGGGGGAAGGGGACAAGACUCUGUGCUCCCAUGGUCCCUGCCCCCCCCCUCAAAACAGGCCGGAACCCCGGAAGGAGAUGGAGGGGGUCCUGGUAGGAGAAAGUCAACUGAAUUAGAGGAAGCAAAAGAC